UACAGAGGUCCCAAGCGUUGUCCGGAAUUAUUGGGCGUAAAGAGCUCGUAGGCGGUCUGUCGCGUCGGCUGUGAAAACUCGGGGCUCAACUCCGAGCUUGCAGUCGAUACGGGCAGGCUAGAGUUCGGCAGGGGAGACUGGAAUUCCUGGUGUAGCGGUGAAAUGCGCAGAUAUCAGGAAGAACACCCGUGGCUAAGGCGGCUCUCUAGUACGGUACUGACGCUGAGACGCGAAAGCGUGGGGAGCGAACAGG
rnacentral:rRNA from 1 species